rnacentral:rRNA from 1 species
UAAGGGCGCACGGUGGAUGCCUUGGCACUAGAAGCCGAUGAAGGACGUUACUAACGACGAUAUGCUUUGGGGAGCUGUAAGUAAGCUUUGAUCCAGAGAUUUCCGAAUGGGGAAACCCAGCAUGAGUUAUGUCAUGUUAUCGAUAUGUGAAUACAUAGCAUAUCAGAAGGCACACCCGGAGAACUGAAACAUCUUAGUACCCGGAGGAAGAGAAAGAAAAUUCGAUUCCCUUAGUAGCGGCGAGCGAAACGGGAAGAGCCCAAACCAACAAGCUUGCUUGUUGGGGUUGUAGGACACUCUAUACGGAGUUACAAAGGACGACAUUAGACGAAUCAUCUGGAAAGAUGAAUCAAAGAAGGUAAUAAUCCUGUAGUCGAAAAUGUUGUCUCUCUUGAGUGGAUCCUGAGUACGACGGAGCACGUGAAAUUCCGUCGGAAUCUGGGAGGACCAUCUCCUAAGGCUAAAUACUCUCUAGUGACCGAUAGUG